rnacentral:rRNA from 1 species
ACGAACGCUGGCGGCGCGCCUAACACAUGCCAGUCGAACGGAGCUGAGAGAAGCUUGCUUUUCUUAGCUUAGUGGCGAACGGGUGAGUAACGCGUGAGUAACCUGCCCUGGAGUGGGGGACAACAGUUGGAAGCGACUGCUAAUACCGCAUAAGCCCACGAUCCGGCAUCGGAUUGAGGGAAAAGGAUUUAUUCGCUUCAGGAUGGACUCGCGUCCAAUUAGCUAGUUGGUGAGGUAACGGCCCACCAAGGCGACGAUUGGUAGCCGGACUGAGAGGUUGAACGGCCACAUUGGGACUGAGACACGGCCCAGACUCCUACGGGAGGCAGCAGUGGGGGAUAUUGCACAAUGGGGGAAACCCUGAUGCAGCGACGCCGCGUGGAGGAAGAAGGUUUUCGGAUUGUAAACUCCUGUCGUUAGGGACGAUAAUGACGGUACCUAACAAGAAAGCACCGGCUAACUACGUG